rnacentral:rRNA from 1 species
AGCGAACGCUGGCGGCAGGCUUAACACAUGCAAGUCGAGCGGGCCUUUCGGGGUCAGCGGCGGACGGGUGAGUAACGCGUGGGAACGUGCCCUCUGGUUCGGAAUAACUCAGGGAAACUUGAGCUAAUACCGGAUACGCCCUUUUGGGGAAAGGCUUGCUGCCGGAGGAUCGGCCCGCGUCUGAUUAGCUAGUUGGUGAGGUAACGGCUCACCAAGGCGACGAUCAGUAGCUGGUCUGAGAGGAUGAUCAGCCACACUGGGACUGUGACACGGCCCAGACUGGGGAGGGAGGCAGAAGUGGCGAAUGCUGGAGGAAGGGAGGAAGCGUGAGGGAGGCAGGCCGCGGGAGUGAUGACCGCCGUAGGGAUGGAGAGCGCUGCUGACUGGGACGGUAGUGAGGGUAGCGGGGAAAGAAGCGCCGGCUAACUACGUG